rnacentral:rRNA from 1 species
GAUGAACGCUGGCGGCGUGCCUAAUACAUGCAAGUCGAGCGAAUGGAUUAAGAGCUUGCUCUUAUGAAGUUAGCGGCGGACGGGUGAGUAACACGUGGGUAACCUGCCCAUAAGACUGGGAUAACUCCGGGAAACCGGGGCUAAUACCGGAUAACAUUUUGAACCGCAUGGUUCGAAAUUGAAAGGCGGAUUCGGCUGUCACUUAUGGAUGGACCCGCGUCGCAUUAGCUAGUUGGUGAGGUAACGGAUCACCAAGGCAACGAUGCGUAGCCGACCUGAGAGGGUGAUCGGCCACACUGGGACUGAGACACGGCCCAGACUCCUACGGGAGGCAGCAGUAGGGAAUCUUCCGCAAUGGACGAAAGUCUGACGGAGCAACGCCGCGUGAGUGAUGAAGGCUUUCGGGUCGUAAAACUCUGUUGUUAGGGAAGAACAAGUGCUAGUUGAAUAAGCUGGCACCUUGACGGUACCUAACCAGAAAGCCACGGCUAACUACGUGCCAGCAGCCGCCGUAA